rnacentral:rRNA from 1 species
AUGGCAUCCAUGGAGCGCACGAUCGCUCGGCAGCGUGCCCGGAUCGCGUCUCUUAAGGACGGCGACGCCAACACGAGCUUCUUCCACCGGCAAUGCUCCUAUCGGCGUCAGAAGAACCGCAUAUAUAGCCUUAACGUCGACGGGCAGGUGCUCACGGAUCAUGAGGAGAUGGCCAACGCAGCAUUUUCACACUUCGAUGGCUUGCUGGGCACUGCUGUAGACCGGGCGCACACGCUGGACCUCUCCCAGCUCAUCGCGCCCGGCGACCUCGCAUGCCUAGACGCGCCCUUCAGCCAGGAGGAAAUAUGGGACGCGGUCAAACGCAUGCCGGCGCGCAAAGCACCCGGACCUGAUGGCUUCACCGCGGAGUUCCUGCACGCCUGUUGGAGCAUCAUCCGCCAUGACAUAUGGGACGUCUUCGAGCUGCUAUACACGCUGCGUGGCCGCGGGUUCAGCAAGCUUAACCAAGCGCUGCUAACCUUGCUGCCUAAGCGCAUGGACGCUCACAAGCUUGGUGACUACCGGCCGAUCUGCCUGAUCCACAUUGUGGCCAAGAUCUUCGCGAAGGUCCUGUCAUUGCGCCUCGCCCCCAAGCUCGACACCCUAGUCAGCCGCAACCAAAAUGCGUUCAUCGCCGGACGUAGCCUCCACGACAACUUCGUUCUAGUCCGGCAAUCCCUCAAGAUGCUGCACCAACUUGGCGCGCCCAGGAUCAUGCUAAAGCUCGACCUCACACGCGCCUUCGACUCCAUCUCAUGGCCCUUUCUCUUUGAAGUGCUGCGCCAGUAUGGGUUCGGGGAGCGAUUCCGGGAGUGGCUGGCCAUUCUACUCUCCUCGGCUAGCACGCGGGUCAUGGUCAAUGGAGUCCCCGGCCCUCCAAUCUGGCACCGUCGCGGCCUGAGACAAGGCGACUCCACCUCCCCACAACUCUUCGUGUUGGCGGUGGACACCCUUGGGAGGCUGAUGCGUCUCGCUCUACAAACGGGUAUCCUCUAG